GCUCUGGUGGCCCAGUGGUAACUCUCCUGCCUGCAGUGUGGGCGACCCAGGUUCGAAACCUGUCAUCGGUGCU